rnacentral:rRNA from 1 species
AAAUUGAAGAGUUUGAUCAUGGCUCAGAUUGAACGCUGGCGGCAGGCCUAACACAUGCAAGUCGAACGGUAGCACAGAGAGCUUGCUCUCGGGUGACGAGUGGCGGACGGGUGAGUAAUGUCUGGGAAACUGCCCGAUGGAGGGGGAUAACUACUGGAAACGGUAGCUAAUACCGCAUAACGUCGCAAGACCAAAGUGGGGGACCUUCGGGCCUCACACCAUCGGAUGUGCCCAGAUGGGAUUAGCUAGUAGGUGGGGUAACGGCUCACCUAGGCGACGAUCCCUAGCUGGUCUGAGAGGAUGACCAGCCACACUGGAACUGAGACACGGUCCAGACUCCUACGGGAGGCAGCAGUGGGGAAUAUUGCACAAUGGGCGCAAGCCUGAUGCAGCCAUGCCGCGUGUAUGAAGAAGGCCUUCGGGUUGUAAAGUACUUUCAGCGAGGAGGAAGGCGUUGUGGUUAAUAACCACUGCGAUUGACGUUACUCGCAGAAGAAGCACCGGCUAACUCCGUGCCAGCAGCCGCGGUAAUACGGAGGGUGCAAGCGUUAAUCGGAAUUACUGGGCGUAAAGCGCACGCAGGCGGUUUGUUAAGUCAGAUGUGAAAUCCCCGGGCUCAACCUGGGAACUGCAUUUGAAACUGGCAAGCUUGAGUCU